AGUGGUGACAACAGCACUUAUAGAAAACAUGUUUUUUAUGGUGUUUUUCUUUUUUGGGGGACAAUUGACUGACUAAAUAUGUUGUUAAAGAGGAAAUAUAUUUCUUAUGGAGUGUUUUGAGUGCUUCAAGUCCAGGAAGAGGGAUUUUUUGUGGCCAGGAAACUUCAUGAGAGAAGGAUAACUUCAAUCUGGAUGCCAUUUUGGAUAUUUUUUGGUCAGUAAAAGAGGACAAAUUCUGCAUCAAAAGCUGUCGGAGCGCUCCACCUCCUCUGUCCGGUGCUGGUGUGGUAUGAGGCGGACAGCUCAGCCAAGGCUGCUGGAGCUCAAGAUCCUGAUCCAGGGAGCCAACAUGAGUCAGUCCCAGACUAAACUGACUUGAUCAAGUCUCUCUCUGCCUCUGAUGAAAAAAGGUGAUAGUGAUAUUUCUGAAUGCCAUGUCAGGACUGGAUCUGAUGCAACAAUAUAUUUCUGCAUU